GUAUCAGCAGCAACUAUGGCUGGUAUCAGCAGCAACUAUGGCUGGUAUCAGCAGAAGGUCCCUGGCAGUGCCCCUGUCACUGUGAUCUACAACAAUGACAAGAGACCCUCGGGCAUCCCUUCGCGAUUCUCCGGAUCCAAGUCCGGCUCCACGGCCACGUUAACCAUCACUGGGGUCCAAGCCGAGGACGAGGCUGUCUAUUUCUGUGGUGGCUAUGACAGCAGCAAUAAUGGUGUAUUCGGGGCCGGGACGACGCUGACGGUCACAGGCCAGCCCCAGGUUGCUCCCACCGUCCACCUCUUCGCGCCAUCCUCCGAGGAGUUGUCACAGGGCAAAGCCACCGUGGUGUGCCUGGUUGAGAACUUCUACCCAAGGGAUGUGUCGGUGGAAUGGGUGGCUGACGGCAAGACCAUCACCAGUGGUGUGGAGACCAGCCAGUCCCAGCAGCAGAGCAAUGCCCAGCAGCAGAGCAGCACCCGGUACUUAGCCAGCAGUUACCUGUCUCUGACUCCCACCGAAUGGCAGAGUUACAAUUCUGUCUCGUGCAAGGUCAGGCACGUGGCUGGAAACGUGGAGAAGACCCUGAACACAUCCGAGUGCGCCUAAGCCACCCUGCCGGCCCUUUGCUGGCUCCCUCCCUCCUCUCCACUCUGCCCAUGUCCGCCCGUCCCCUGCUCCUGUCCCGCCACUGUGAGUGUCACACAAAUAAACAGCGACACUGAACUAGCGCUGGCUCAGCA